AAUGACCGACGCAUCGAAGAAGACACGGUCACCGGGACAUGUCCAUGGACUGUUGGGAGGUAGAAGUUCCUCUUGACAUAUGUUUUUGAUAGAGUUUAAUUGCCACCAUGCGACCGUUAUGUUGAUUGUUCCCGCAAGAAUUGUACCAAUGAAUUGAACCAAGAACAUGGAUCUUGGUGGGAUCUUCAUGUAAUGACCAAGUUUGAAGUCAUUUAAGAAAGAGACAGCUUGAGCCAUACUCAUGUAUCCAUAGACUUUGAAGCAUACGUUUGCGAUAGGUCGUCCCGGGUAAAUGAGUCCCAUUGCGUACUCUGUUAUUAUAUUCAACCCCGGUGUCUGCGAAACACGUAAAGAAAAUGAAUAGCUUGUAACUGCAAGUAUAAACUAGCCAUGGAAUAAUAUUUGGUUAAUAUUGCUUACUUGGUUAGUUGUUGCAGUUAUGAUGCUUAUGGGAAGUGUGAAGAUGAAAGCCAUGGCGCUUGCGAACACAAGUCCCCACCAAGGCAUUUGAACCUCAUCGUUCAAGAAAACACAUAACGCAAGAGAGAUAAGUAGUGUAACAGCCAACAUCGAGUAAAACCACCACGAAGGUAUGUCUUUAUAUCUCUUCAUUAACCUAGUGUGUAUAUCUUCUUUGCCUUUGUAUGAAACUCGAAACCUCUCUACAAUUUCCCUGUAGAUGAAAAUUAAAUAAAAUGAUUUGAGUAAUUACAUAUAUAUAUAUAUAUAUAUCACUUAUGCAGUUUACCAAAUUAAGACUGCUGCUAUGUUGUUAUGUUGUUUGCUUUACCUGCCAUAGAAGAGAGCUACAUGAGUGAGUGUAGCAGCAAUGGUGGCGAAACCAAGCCCAUAGGUAAGAGCGAAGAACAUGCUCAAGUUGAUCCUUCCUUGUUGCUCAUACUUAGCUAGAUCGAGUUCAAAGUUAUCAUUCACGAUGGCAGGAAUAUCGUAUGUGUUGCCAACCGAUGUGAAAAGAUGUGACGAAAAUAUAGGAAACCUCGUGGCGUUGUAAGAAUCAAAACCCCAAUAACCAAUAGGCA
rnacentral:lncRNA from 1 species